rnacentral:misc_RNA from 1 species
AAGUCGUAACAAGGUUUCCGUAGGUGAACCUGCGGAAGGAUCAUUAACAAAUUUUAUUUAAAAAGAAAAACAACCGUGCAAAGAGAUUGAGGAUGGGAGGGGUGGUAUGGGAAUGGUGAGUGAGAGGGAUGCUUUUUUUGUAAAAGAAAAAAGUCUUGCUUGUUCGCUAAAAUCUACACCUAUUCAUUCUUCUAUUCUAUAAAAAAACCUUUAAAAAUGUAGUCAAUUUUAUACAUAAUAAUAUAUAUAUAACUUUUAACAAUGGAUCUCUAGGCUCUC